rnacentral:rRNA from 1 species
GAUAGCGUGGCGUCCGGGUGAGUAACACGUAGGGAAUCUACCCUCGAGCGGGGGAUAACGUUCCGAAAGGAACGCUAAUACCGCAUAAGACCACGACGGCUCAGGCCGUUGGGGUCAAAGAUGGCCUCUGUACACAAGCUAUCACUCGAGGAUGGCCCUGCGGCGCAUCAGCUAGUUGGUGGGGUAACGGCCCACCAAGGCGAAGACGCGUAGCUGGUCUGAGAGGAUGAUCAGCCACACUGGCACUGAAACACGGGCCAGACUCCUACGGGAGGCAGCAGUGGGGAAUAUUGGUCAAUGGGCGCAAGCCUGAACCAGCCACGCCGCGUGAGUGAUGAAGGCCUUCGGGUUGUAAAGCUCUGUGGGGAGGGAAGAAAACGGCCAGUAAGAAACGACUGGUCCUUGACGGUACCUCCUUAGCAAGCACCGGCUAACUCUGUGCCAGCAGCCGCGGUAAUACAGAGGGUGCGAACGUUGCUCGGAAUUACUGGGCGUAAAGCGCGUGUAGGCGGGACCGCAAGUCAGAUGUGAAAUCCCCGAGCUCAACUCGGGAACUGCAUCUGAAACUGCGGACCUUGAGUACUGGAGAGGGCGGCGGAAUUCCUGGUGUAGAGGUGAAAUUCGUAGAUAUCAGGAGGAACACCGGUGGCGAAGGCGGCCGCCUGGACAGUCACUGACGCUGAGACGCGAAAGCGUGGGGAGCAAACAGGAUUAGAUACCCUGGUAGUCCACGCCGUAAACGAUGGGUGCUAGGUGUCUCGGGUAUUGACCCCUUC